AGCAGCCGCGGUAAUUCCAGCUCCAAUAGCGUAUAUUAAAGUUGUUGCAGUUAAAAAGCUCGUAGUUGAAUUUCGGGGUCAGUAGGCUGGUCGUGCCACAGGUAUGUACUGGUCUCACUGAUUCCUCCUUCCUGAUGAACCGUAAUGCCAUUAAUUUGGUGUUGCGGGGAAUCUGGACUGUUACUUUGAAAAAAUUAGAGUGUUUAAAGCAGGCUCACGCUUGAAUACAUUAGCAUGGAAUAACGAAAUGGGACGUUUGAUUCUAUUUUGUUGGUUUCUAGGAUCGACGUAAUGAUUAAUAGGGAUAGUUGGGGGCAUUAGUAUUCAAUUGUCAGAGGUGAAAUUCUUGGAUUUAUUGAAGACUAACUACUGCGAAAGCAUUUGCCAAGGAUGUUUUCAUUAAUCAAGAACGAAAGUUAGGGGAUCGAAGACGAUCAGAUACCGUCGUAGUCUUAACCAUAAACUAUGCCGACUAGGGAUCGGAUGAUGUUAAUUUUUUAAUGACUCAUUCGGCGCCUUA
rnacentral:rRNA from 1 species